CGUUAUUUUUCAUCAACGAUGCCGCCGGCCGUUGAGGACGAAGAGCAUCAUCCAAGUCCCACCAAAUCCGCUCGAGCUCUAGUCGCCAGCCUAGGCGACCUGCCAGAUGAGAUGAUUUCAGCUGUCUUGGCCGCUGCAGCUGCCUCCGCCGACUCACCGGCAGACCUUCUCUCCGCUAUCAUGACGUGCUAGAAUGUUUUUUCGUUGGGCUGGGGUGCAUCAGUCAUCAAGAAUGCAUCCCCCCUCAUCGCGAUCCAUGUGAAAUCAUGGUGUCUUGGCGCCAAACAAUUCUUGCAACGUUUGCAAUGACGCCGGGAACCUCGAUGCAUCAUUCAUACUUGGGAUGAUCUUGUACCUGGACGGGGAGAACCGCCACGGCAACGUCCUCAACGAGUACUUGUACCUCUCCGGCCGCGUCGACAUGCGCGCGGUCGAGACGACCGUCCAGCACCUCACAUCGGCUCCGGCGCAUGGACCUCAGGACGGAGAACAACCCCUACAUCAGCUUCGUCUACACACGCUUCCAGGAGCGCGCCACGGCCGUCUCCCACGGCAACACCGCACGCCUCGCCAGGGCGCGCGGUGACGGCGUCCUGGCUCGCGUCUGCGGCACCAUUGCCGCCGACGAUAAGCGCCACGAGAUAGCCUACGCCCGCAUCGUGGAGCAUGGCGCACGUGCUGUGUAUGACUUCUUCAUGCCGCCAGCAAAAAAGAAGGAGGAGCAACAUCUCAGAUUCGAUGAUCUGCUGGAUGAUAUGGUGGUCUCCAUAAUUGUUGAUGUUGCUGCAUCCGCCGGGUCGCUGGCCGACCUAGCAGGGGUUACCAUGAUGUAAGAUCCUCGCACGCAAGAACAAUAGAUUAUCGUCUCUCUUUUUUUAGGAUGCUACUGCAGGUGCAAAAAUGUUUGGAAGCUAGGACACAACAAUUUUGUUCUCAAGAAGGCGUCGCAGCUGUGCCUCACCGUCCAUGCAAGAGAGCGGACUCCGGCAACCUUGACGCCUCCUAUACACUUGGCAUGAUCUUGUUAUACUUGCGGCCGUUGUCGGUUGUCACAAGGAGGCGAUCUACUCGAUGGCCAUCAUCGUGUUCAACAGCAGUGUCGACAUCAGGGAGAGCCGCGUCAUCCUUGCCGGCGCCGGCGCUGUGCGUGCGCACGGCCUCACUUGGCCAGGUGAUGCGCUACGCGAGCUUGGGCACUCGUGCAUGAUGGAUACGGCCGGCGUGGAACGCUCGAUUCCCGACCAGCGCCAUGAAGUCAAGACGUGGCGUUUUAUGUUUUUACUGAUGGCAGCUGUUGCAAAGCUUCAAUAAUGUAUCAAUUUUUUUGCACGCGUUUUUAGCGAUAGUUAGAUUGAAUCUUCAGCUAAGUUAGCAAGAAGGAAUUGUAUGCCUUUGGCACAUUUAGCUUCCAUGGAAGACGAUUUAUGUGUAGGUUUGUGUAAUGUUUCACACGUGUUUUCUUUGAGAUGCACGUCUACGUACUAUUUCCAAAAACUAGC